rnacentral:rRNA from 1 species
UAUCAGUAAGCGGAGGAAAAGAAACUAACAAGGAUUCCCUCAGUAACGGCGAGUGAACCGGGAACAGCUCAAAAUGAAAAUCUGUGGCAUACAGUUACAGAAUUGUAAUCUAAAUGCUUUUUAGGGAAGGCAUGGCUAUCGCAUAAGUUCCUUGAAAAGGGAUGUCAUAGAGGGUAAAAACCCCGUGUUAGGUGAUAGCUAGCCGUACCGAAGGGCUACAAGAGUCGGGUUGUUUGGGACUGCAGCCCUAAAUGGGAGAUAAACUUCUUCUAAAGCUAAAUAUGUAUGGGAAACCGAUAGCAAACAAGUACUACGAAGGAAAGAUGAAAAGAACUUUGAAAAGAGGGUUAAAAGACUUGAAAUCGUUGAGAAGAAAAGCGGUAGAAGAGAAAUGAUUUCCUCAUCAAGUCUCAGUCUAAAGCAUUACCUUUGGCGCAUCAGGUACUUCAUAGGGCCGGUGUGUCAACUGGAAAGUGCUUGGAUUGUUUUUGUUGGGUGAAGUGCACGAUGAGGUCGAAGUUUCAGGAAACGUGGUGGAAACGCCUAUGCCCUUGAUGGUGUAAGCUCCAUUAACUCACUGAAACCUGGCCUGAGGGUCCUGAUGGAGAUCGUGCAAAAAAGGCUUCUACUGACCCGUCUUGAAACACGGACCAAGGAGUCUACCCCAUAUGCGAGUCUUAGGGUGGAAAAACCUGAAGGCGUAGCGAAAGCAAGUACAAGGUGUGAACCGCAAGGCGCAACACCGGCCAACCUUGAUUCUCGAAUGAAGGGAUUGAGCAAGAGCAUAUUUGGUAGGACCCGAAAGAUGGUGAACUACGCUUGAGUAGGGUGAAGCCAGGGGAAACUCUGGUGGAGGCUCGAAGCGUUACUGACGUGCAAAUCGUUCGUCAAACUUGAGUGUAGGGGCGAAAGACUAAUCGAACCAUCUAGUAGCUGGUUCCCUCUGAAGUUUCUCUCAGGAUAGCUGGAACAAAACCGCAGUUUUAUCAGGUAAAGCGAAUGAUUAGAGGAAUCGGAGAUCAAAGAUCUUUGACCUAUUCUCAAACUUUAAAUUGGUAAGAGCCUGUAGUUACUUAAGUGAACUAUGGGGUAGAAUGCGUUGUUCUUAGUGGGCCGUUUUUGGUAAGCAGAACUGGCGAUGAGGGAUGAACCUAACGCUUAGAUAAGGUGCCAAAGUUCCCGCUCAUCAGAUACCAUAAAAGGUGUUGGUUCAUAUAGACAGCAGGACGGUGGCCCUGGAAGUCGGAAUCCGCUAAGGAGUGUGUAACAACUCACCUGCCGAAUGAACUAGCCCUGAAAAUUGAUGGCGCUGAAGCGGGACACCGAUACUAAGCCAUCGGAGCAAAUAUGAGGCUUCGAUGAGUAAGAGGGCGUGUGCACUGUGCAGAAGCCUUUACCGUGAGGUUGGGUCGAACAGUGUAUAGUGCAGAUCUUGGUGGUAGUAGCAAAUAUUCAAAUGAGAACUUUGAAGACCGAAGUGGAGAAGGGUUCCAUGAGAACCGCAAUUGGUCAUGGGUUACUCGAUCCUAAGACAUAGGGCAACUCCUUGUAAUACAAGGGCUAAUUUUAGUCCGUUGUCAAAAGGGAAUGAGGUUAAUAUUCCUCAAGCUGGUCGCGGAUUUUGUGGCAACACAAACGAGCCCGGAGACGUCGGCAUGAACUCCUGGAAGAGUUAUCUUUUCUUUUUAACAGACUGUGGCCCUGAAAUUGGAUUAUCCAGAGCUAGGGCUGUAUGUCUGGCAGAGCAGCUCACACUAAGAGCUGUCAGGUGCGCUCAUGACGACCCUUGAAAAUCCGGGGGAGAGUUAAUAUCGCGCCAGAUCGUACCCAUAACCGCA